rnacentral:lncRNA from 1 species
AGAAAACUGAGAUGACUAUAUCCUUUUGAAAAAUCUUGAAUUUCUUACAUUAGAUGUUUGGAAAAUUGCUAAAGAUCUGCUUAGUUUUUGUGAUUUUCUGGUCUUGAUCACUUGUCUAAAGUCGAUAAAAUGAUAAGGAUUUAUAACUAGUUUAAAAUAGACUGAAUCUGGGUUUGAGAAGUUCUGGUGUGAAGCUGUUUUAAUCCCCGAAGCUACUAUUACAUUACUGAGGAUUACGCUAAUUUAGCUAUUGCUGAUUACUGUUUUCUCACUCAUUUUGGUUACCCUUUUUCUCAGGUAAACUUCCUGAAACCUGUGUAAUCUGAUGCUCAUGUUGGAUUACAAAAAAUGGAAAUAUUUUAAAGCAUGGCAUCUGUUUUCUUGUUCAAAAUCAGUUUUAUUCUUUUUCUUUUCUUCUGACCUAUAAAAUAUUAUCACUGUGUUCGUGGAGAUUGUUAGAUUUCCUUAGAAUGAUUUGAUUUCUGAUUCAGCACACCUACUCUUUUUUGUUUGUAAGUUUACUUUGUAAUAUCAGUUAGACCUUGGACUUUAGCCACUAAAUAAGUUUGAAUUUGUAUUAGGAAACUUUUAAGGUUAUAGUUGUUAGUUUCAUGUUGGUUUAUAACAUGUCCUGGAUUUUGCUUGGUUUUGGUUGAGAUCAGGUGGGGUUUUUUAAUGUAGAUUCACGUUUAGGAUUCUUGAAAAGUGAUAAGUUGUUAGGUUGUAUAUGGGUUCUAUUCGUAUGAAAUUGGUUUGAAAUUUAAAGCUUCAGGUUUAAAUCUCAAAUUAAUUUGGAGAUUUGAAAGUUAAAGUUUGUCUACUGCUAGGUAUUAAAUUGGACUUUCAAUUAUUUUUCAAGGUCAAGUCACUGUUUGAAUGACAUAUAAUUAUCCGUUGAUGAAUUAAAGGGUGAUUCUAAAGGUUGUUUGUAUGAGUAUUGAUGCCUUUUUUUCCCUUUGCAUUUACGUGGUCUAUUGGCAGCUUCAGGCAUUAUGAGGACUCGAUAAUGGGUUUUACAUUGGGUGGUUGCAAAGCCGUUGGAAUUUGGGUUCAUGCUUGGGCCCAAACUGGACAGUCCCAUCGAAAUGGGAUUUGGAUCACUUUUUUUCCAUUAAGCCAUUCGCUUGAUUGUACUGGAUCAAUCCAUUUCCCAAUUAAUUUUCUUUUUCAUUU